UUGGAGGGCAAGUCUGGUGCCAGCAGCCGCGGUAAUUCCAGCUCCAAUAGCGUAUAUUAAAGUUGUUGCAGUUAAAAAGCUCGUAGUUGAAUUUCGGGAUCAGUAUGUCGGUCGUGCUUCGGUACGUACUGUCAUUACUGGUUUCUCCCUUCUGAAGAACCAUGAUGUCAUUAAUUUGAUGUCUUGGGAAAUCAGGACUGUUACUUUGAAAAAAUUGAGUGUUUAAAGCAAGCAUACGCUUGAAUACAUUAGCAUGGAAUAAUGAAAUAGGACGUUUGAUUCUAUUUUGUUGGUUUCUAGGAUCGACGUAAUGAUUAAUAGGGAUAGUUGGGGGCAUUAGUAUUCAAUUGUCAGAGGUGAAAUUCUUGGAUUUAUUGAAGACUAACUACUGCGAAAGCAUUUGCCAAGGAUGUUUUCAUU
rnacentral:rRNA from 1 species